rnacentral:rRNA from 1 species
CCCCUUUUGGACCGGGUAUCCUAACCAAGAAAAGGUCAACGCUACCCUACCGUGUCCAGCCAGCCGCGGUAAUACGUAGGUUGGCAAGCGUUGUCCGGGAAUUAUUGGGCGUAAAGGGCUCGCAGGCGGUUUCUUAAGUCUGAUGUGAAAGCCCCCCGGCUCAACCGGGGAGGGUCAUUGGAAACUGGGGAACUUGAGUGCAGAAGAGGAGAGUGGAAUUCCACGUGUAGCGGUGAAAUGCGUAGAGAUGUGGAGGAACACCAGUGGCGAAGGCGACUCUCUGGUCUGUAACUGACGCUGAGGAGCGAAAGCGUGGGGAGCGAACAGGAUUAGAUACCCUGGUAGUCCACGCCGUAAACGAUGAGUGCUAAGUGUUAGGGGGUUUCCGCCCCUUAGUGCUGCAGCUAACGCAUUAAGCACUCCGCCUGGGGAGUACGGUCGCAAGACUGAAACUCAAAGGAAUUGACGGGGGCCCGCACAAGCGGUGGAGCAUGUGGUUUAAUUCGAAGCAACGCGAAGAACCUUACCAGGUCUUGACAUCCUCUGACAAUCCUAGAGAUAGGACGUCCCCUUCGGGGGCAGAGUGACAGGUGGUGCAUGGUUGUCGUCAGCUCGUGUCGUGAGAUGUUGGGUUAAGUCCCGCAACGAGCGCAACCCUUGAUCUUAGUUGCCAGCAUUCAGUUGGGCACUCUAAGGUGACUGCCGGUGACAAACCGGAGGAAGGUGGGGAUGACGUCAAAUCAUCAUGCCCCUUAUGACCUGGGCUACACACGUGCUACAAUGGACAGAACAAAGGGCAGCGAAACCGCGAGGUUAAGCCAAUCCCACAAAUCUGUUCUCAGUUCGGAUCGCAGUCUGCAACUCGACUGCGUGAACGCUGGAAUACGCUAGUAAUCGCGGUCAGCUGCCUGCUGGGC